rnacentral:tRNA from 1 species
CGGGAAGUAGCUCAGCAUGGUGGAGAAGCACAGGAGGACCAAGGUGUCGCAGGUUCGAAUCCUGUCUUCCCGA